UACGUAGGGUGCGAGCGUUAAUCGGAAUUACUGGGCGUAAAGCGUGCGCAGGCGGUUUUGUAAGCCAGAUGUGAAAUCCCCGGGCUCAACCUGGGAAUGGCAUUUGGGACUGCAAGGCUCGAGUUUGGCAGAGGAGACUGGAAUUCCUGGUGUAGCAGUGAAAUGCGUAGAUAUCAGGAGGAAUACCGAUGGCGAAGGCAGGUCUCUGGGCUGAAACUGACGCUCAGGCACGAAAGCGUGGGGAGCAAACAGG
rnacentral:rRNA from 1 species